GCCAUCUACCAUCCCGCGGUCCCCACUGGGCCCUUCCAUCUCACCGCCGCGGAGCUCCUCCACCCGCCACAGAGCUCCUCGGACCGCCUAUUCCCCUGCCAUCCCACCCCCUCGCGGCGGCGGAGCUGGGCGCCGUUCUCGCCGGCGGCGGGGUGGGCAGACCCGUCGGCUACGCACCCGGGCGGAGCUGGGGCACUCGCCGGCGCGGCGCAGGGUCACCCAAGGGCUGCCCGCGAUGAUGCGACGAGCAGCGGCGGCGGCAGGAGAGGCUAGCGCAAGGAGAACACGGCGAGGUCGCCAUGGCUGCCUAGAGGCCGAGCUCCGCCCCCAUCUUCAAUACUCCGUCCACGAACCAAAUUAAUCCAAUUCCUCACAGGGAUAGCAGCUCCAUGACCUCCUCCAUCGAUCCCCUAACCUAGCCGGCCGAAUCCCCCACCGAAGAGACGUCGUGCCGUCACGCCAUGAUCCGCUAGAACAACCUACCUCGACCUCUCCGCUCGUUUGACGAGGAACGCAGAGUUGCCGCCGCGGGCGCUGGUGGCCACGCCGAUGAAUGUCGCCGGCGCGUUCUUCCUCGUCUCGGGCGAGCUCCAGUCACCGUCUACCUGUGCCAAGUGCGUCACCACGUGUGCCUCAAAUUUCUGAACACUGUGGUAUGCUUCUUGGUCGCCAGUGAUCCUCGUAGUGUGGGAACGCCGCUCUUAGAGGAGGAAGAGGAGCUGCUGCACGCGGUUGGAUUUAGAGAAUCUGUUGGAUUUCAUUGCUCUUUUACUAGCUAUUUCAUUUUACAUAAUAGCUAAACCAGAAUUGUAGCUAUUCAUUUUUAAAAAAGCUGUUGGAGAUGCUCUAA